AGAAAAAUAAGCUAAAUUAAAGCUAUUGAACUCAUAAUUCAAUAAUAGAAUCAAAUUCUUUUUUCUA
rnacentral:tRNA from 1 species